rnacentral:rRNA from 1 species
UACGGGGGGGGCAAGCGUUGUUCGGAAUUACUGGGCGUAAAGGGCUCGUAGGCGGCCAACUAAGUCCGACGUGAAAUCCCCAGGCUUAACCUGGGAACUGCGUCGGAUACUGGAUGGCUUGAAUUCGGGAGAGGGAUGCAGAAUUCCAGGUGUAGCGGUGAAAUGCGUAGAUAUCUGGAGGAAUAUCGGUGGCGAAGGCGGCAUCCUGGACCGACAUUGACGCUGAUGAGCGAAAGCUAGGGGAGCAAACGGG